UCCGACGAUACAUACAAUAUGAGCAAGCCCCGUUACCCCCCCUUCUGGACCGGCGGGGGUGAUCCCGGUCCACCCAGCGGAGAUGACCCACGGCGAGCCAAAGCAACACAGGCCGCCUCGUGGGCAAAGCGAGAGCGUAGAGCUUCACUUAAGAUGGCGGAAAUUACAGAAGCUGGUAGCCCCACUGAUGCUGCACAAGAUGUCCUGGCGAGGAUCCACAGACAUUUUAAAAGGUUCUGGAAGCAGCUGGAGCGCAGGCUAUAUCUACCCGCCCCACCACACAGUACUGACCUUCCUGAGCAGACACUACAGCCAAACCGGCGGUCAGCAGCCCAGCGCCAUGGCGCCCGAUCGACGCCACCGAAGAAGCCUCGCUUCCCGCCGGGCCAUCCACACACACGGCUCAGGCAAAUCAAUAAAAGCAAGCAGCACAGAGGAGACCCUUACGCGGCAACACAAAGUACAAAGCAGAAACUCUGGCGCAAGCGGCAAUACCUCGGUCCUAACCCGUUUGGUGAAAAGACCCUGCUGCAGCACAAGGGAUACCCUGUGAGGGAACCAAAAUGUAAUCCCUUAGACAUCGGCAAGGCCCGGUGUGUGAAGCCCAGACCCUCCAGACGAUCCAGUACGCAACAGCAAACACCAACUAUACUGCAUCUGUCGCCUGACGGGCCACUGGCAGCCCUGCAUGAACUGUCUCCACAUGGAAGCUUACAGCCCAGCCAGGGAAUUGGUUGAAUGACUGCUUGACUGUACUGGCAUGCCAGGCUUACUGCCAGGGCAGAUCACUCCUGCAUUGCCAGUGCUGUGUGGCUAACUGACCCAGUUCUCUUUGCCACCAGUUGAUGCUUAAAUGUUUUUGCUAGUUAUGUCUUUUUUUUUUUUUUUUAACAUUUUUUAUUUUUUUUAACCUUCAUCUCACGCUGACAUAGCUUUACAUAAAGGCUCUUAAGCCAUGCACCGUUAUAAUUGGAGUUUAUCUUAUAAAUGUAAAGUCAGCAUACGAUCACACUUAUAAUGAGCCUCAACACUAUACCUAACCUGUGUUGCUGUAGAUUAGAUCUGUCUGCAGUAGAUACAAUGCAGAUUUCGCAUCUAUAUCUAAUUAAGACUAACAGUGUUGUCGCAUUUAGCGUGGUAUACCAUGUUUAUGCUGUCUCACCUUAAAGAUCUAAAGCGACAGUAACAGAUAUUGAUGCAAAUGCUUAUGAUUAACCUUACGUUGCCACUCAAUACGCACAACCAUAAAUAACACUUGAUCUAACAUAUACACUAGCAUAGCAUAUUAGGUCCUAUAGGCAUUUAUGCUAUCAGUUCAAGCUUUAUCUUUUGUUGUUAUUAUGUCUAAGACCUGGUUACCUCACCAUGAUGUGACCUACCAAGCGGUAACUCUAAGGCACUUAUUCAGAGACAUACCGGUUGCAAGCAUGUUAACUUACAAUGAGUGAAAUAGCCUCUGGAGCAAUAGGGCAAACAGCGAGUAACCAGUCCUUUUCUAACACAAUAGUCAGCAUGUUCCUGCUAGAUCACGGUUUCCUCUCAUAAGUGUAAUUCUACGUGCCAGAGCAGUUAGGAUGCUACAAGCAUAU
rnacentral:lncRNA from 1 species